GUUCGAUUUUUAUCAAAUAUUUGUUUUACUCAUUAAUUACAAAUUUACAUUAUUUGUAUUAUAAAGUAUUAGACAGAACUUUAUCUCAAUUUUAGUUUUUAUAAACUUAAAAUUAGUAUCAAAUUGUUCCUUACAGUUACCUUUGGUAUCAUGAACAUACAAGAAAUAAACAUGAUCUAUAUUUCCCGAAAUUAAAAGAUCUACUUUUUAACAUAAAUUACUGUAGCAAUAGUAAUUACAAUAAAUAGUAGUUAUGAAAACUUAAUCGAUUUUAAUUAUACCUGGUUUCAAUCUAAAUAAUAUAAAAUAAUAACUAUAAAUUAGUUAAUAAAUUACUUGGUUAAGCUAAGUACAUUUGAGUUAACUCUUUAAUUAAUACAGAAUUAGAUUUAAAAGUAAUCUAUAUUUAGUGUCAUUAUAGCUAUCUAUUCAAUAUAUCUAAAUCUUAACAGUAAACUCUUUAAGGAUUGAACUUAGGAAUAAUCUUUUUUCCUAAUAUAUAAUGUAUGUAUUAUUAGUUGUUAAUAUAAAAUAUUUUAAUUUUACAAUAUGAAAUCAGAAUUCGGCUUUUUUUCUACAACUGUUUAUUAAUAAAAUAUGUAUGUAUUAUUAGUUGUUAAUAUAAAAUAUUUUAAUUUUACAAUAUGAAAUCAGAAUUCGGCUUUUUUUCUACAACUGUUUAUUAAAAACAUAGCUUUGAGAUAUAUUCAAAGUAUCUUCUGCCCACUGAUUAAUUGAAUGGCCGAAGUACUCUGACUGUGCUAAGGUAGCGUGAUUCUUGUUUUCUUAAUUAGAAAUCUGUUCAAAGAAUGUGAUAUGUGGAAAAUCUAUUGUUUUCAUACUUAAACAAACUUAAAUUGUUAGUGAAAAUUCUAACUAGCUAUUUUAAAUUUGACUACACAAUUUAACGGGAUCGCUUAAAAGAGACCAUAAACCUUCUUACUAGCUCUUAAAAGACGAGAAGACCCCAUAAAACUUAAUUUAAUUCUUUAUUCUUUAUUCUUUAUUCUUUAUUCUUUAUUUUUCAAAUUUAAAUGGGGACUUUAGAGUAUAAUAAUAACUUGUUGACCUAUAAAUUUAAUAACUGAGAAGCUACUUUGGGGAUAACAGGGUGAGACAUUUAAACUAGAGAAUAAAAGUCCUUAAGCGCCCUAUAAUAUAUAAUUCGUCCCUCGAACAACGAUUAUCCUUUCAUAUAUAUUGCAGUAUUAUUUUCAGAUAGCAGUAAAUUUUUAUACUUUAGUACUUAUUAAAAAGUUACAUGAUCUGAGUUUAAACCGUUGCAAGACAGGUAUGGAUUUUAUCUUAAUUAUAAUAUUUAAAUUUGUUAUUACGAAAGGAAUUCAAAUUUGCAAUGAUUGCUAA
rnacentral:rRNA from 1 species